GUUUGUAACGGUAAUUUUUUUCAACUUUCUUUCCACAUAUUUGCAUUUUGAUUUGAUUAUUAAACGACAACAUUCAAUCUUCUGCUUCAUCAAAUCAAAACCCCUUUUUUCUUUUUUGAUGAAAAUUAGGGUAUAAACCCUAAAUCAAGAACAUUCAAUCUUCUGCUUCAUAAAAGGUAUAACUUUAUCCAUUUUUCUCAU
rnacentral:lncRNA from 1 species